rnacentral:lncRNA from 1 species
UUUUUUUCCCUCCAAAGUAUUUUUCUUCAAAACUAUUUUCUUUCUUUCUUAAAACCUUAAAAUUUUCAAAUUCAUUUUAUAAAACCCUUAUUUUACCCUUCUAAGAGGUUUCGACAUCCAAGAUUCCAGAUUCUAACAGGGAUUCCAUUGGAAGGUUGGAAUUUCGACGCCGGAGUCUAGCCGGGUAUUACAUUCUCCCCCCCUUAAGAACAUUCAUCCCCGAAUGUUCAAUAAGCAAAC